GAAGAAGAAGAAGGGAUUUUGUUGAAAUAUUCGCUUGAUUAUUCCCUCAAGCACUUGGGGAUUAAAUAGAUUUUACAAAAGCUAAAUUAGGACAUUACACAUAAAUUACAGAACUAAAAAACUCCUAAUUAGUAUUUGUAAUUGCUUGCUAAUCUAUUGCAUAAUUACAGAGAUUCCUAAUCUAUUUACCGAUUCUUAACACUCCCUCUCAAGCUAGAGUGUACAUAUUGUAUG
rnacentral:misc_RNA from 1 species